rnacentral:tRNA from 1 species
GGCACGGUGGUGCAGUGGGUAGCACUGUCGCCUCACAGCAAGAUGGUCCUGGGUUUGAAUCUGGCCUGGGCCU